rnacentral:rRNA from 1 species
AGAGAGAGACAUGCGCGCAUAUCAAUAAGCGGAGGAAAAGAAACUAACAAGGAUUCCCUUAGUAACGGCGAGUGAAGCGGGAAGAGCUCAGAUUUGAAAUCUUCAAGGUUUUACCUUGACGAAUUGUAGUUUAAAGAAGUGUUUUCUGCUGAAGUUUUGGUAAAAGUUCUUUGGAAUAGGACAUCAUAGAGGGUGAGAAUCCCGUAUUUGACCAUUAUUUUCAGCUUUGUGAUACACUUUCAAAGAGUCGGAUUGUUUGGGAAUGCAGUCCAAAAUGGGUGGUAAAUUUCAUCUAAAGCUAAAUAUUGGCGAGAGACCGAUAGCGAACAAGUACCGUGAGGGAAAGAUGAAAAGAACUUUGAAGAGAGAGUUAAACAGUACGUGAAAUUGUCAAAAGGGAAGCGUUUGACACCAGUGUUGUUUUCUCGAAAAUCAAUUAAAAAUGGCUCGAUUUUGUAUUGCUUGAGACCUUAAAAGCUCACUGUACAUUUUUCGUGUCUUUUUUAAUGCACUUUUCGUUUAACAAGUCAACAUCAGUUUCUUUUGUUGUAAAAGGGUCAUUGGAAGGUGGCUUUCUUUUCGGAGAAAGUGUUUAUAGCCUUUGGCCUCUGCAAUCGGAAGAGACUGAGGUCUGCAGCGUAGACUCUUCGGGGUUAGAUACAUUUGUGCUAAGUUAUAGCUUUUUAUAGACAACUUGUUGACUAUAAUUAGUCUUGUAGCUUACUCGCUUAUGCUAUUUUACCUACGCUUAGGAUGUUGAAGAUGUAGCACAUCAU